rnacentral:sRNA from 1 species
AUGGCUGUCGUCAGCUCGUGUCGUGAGAUGUUGGGUUAAGUCCCGCAACGAGCGCAACCCUCAUCUUUAGUUGCCAUCAGUUCGGCUGGGCACUCUAGAGAAACUGCCUGCGAUGAGCAGGAGGAAGGCGGGGAUGACGUCAAGUCCUCAUGGCCCUUAUGGACUGGGCUACACACGUGCUACAAUGGCGGUGACAGUGGGAAGCGAUAGGGCGACCUGGAGCAAAUCCCCAAAAGCCGUCCCAGUUCGGAUUGCACUCUGCAACUCGAGUGCAUGAAGUUGGAAUCGCUAGUAAUCGUGGAUCAGCAUGCCACGGUGAAUACGUUCCCGGGCCUUGUACACACCGCCCGUCACACCAUGGGAAUUGGUUCUACCCGAAUGCGGUGAGCUAACCUGCUUGCAGGAGGCAGCCGACCACGGUAGGGUCAGUGACUGGGGUGAAGUCGUAACAAGGUAGCCGUAGGGGAACCUGCGGCUGGAUCACCUCCUUUCUAAGGAAAAACAAAGGGUGGGCACCUAUUGCCUGCCGCUGCCCAGCGAAUUUCUUCCACAUAAACUUAAAUGGUAUACGACAGCUACAGGCGCGUAGCUCAGUUGGUUAGAGCGCACGACUGAUAAUCGUGAGGUCGGCAGUUCAAAUCUGCCCGUGCCUACCAUCUGUUCGGCCGCCUUUGGCUGGCAAUCAUUUUAGUUUGGAAAAGAAAUGCUUGUUUGUUUCGUUCGUGCGGCAAUGGUCGUUCAACGAGAUACGCUGUUUGACAAAGUUAGUGAAGACAUCCAAGACCGCGGGAUUUAGCUGUGGUGAUUUCUGGUUUACCAGUAAAUCAUGCAACUAAUCCUGCAAGAAUAGCUUGCAGAUCGCAUGUGAGGGCUUUUGCCUUUACGUACGGUCUGAUCAAGCGUCUCUAAGGGCAUUUGGUGGAUGCCUUGGCGUUGAGAGGCGAUGAAGGACGUGACACGCUGCGAUAAGCCAUGGGGAGCUGCGAGUAAGCUUUGAUCCGUGGAUUUCCGAAUGGGGAAACCCGG